GUGACUAGUGGCAGAGGGAGGGGUGACUAGGGACAGAGUGAGGGAGGUGGUGACUAGUGACAGUCACCACCUCCCUCAUUCUGUCACUGGUCACCCACUCCCUCCCUCACUCUGUCACCAGUCACCCCUUCCUUCCCUCUGUCACCCCCUCACUCUGUCACUAGUCACCCCCUCACUCUAGUGACAGAGUGA